rnacentral:lncRNA from 1 species
CGUUCUCCACUUCGCUCCUGGCCUUCUGCACAAGUAGAGCCUACCCGAUACGGAAGGUACUGAAAACUAUCGGUUGCGCUUAUUCACAAUGAAGAUUACAGCAGUGGUGAUCAUUGUAACAAUGCAAAUUGCAUUUGUUGCAUGCACGCUCGAGCAGUGCCUUGCAAGGAGCGGUGGUCGGGCUGGGUGCAAGUUUGGUGGCCAUCACAUUCCUCCCGGUCAAACUAGAAAUUUAGAAAAGCCCUGUGCUCGAGUCUCUUGCGCACCGGAUGGAGCCACAAUGACAGUCACGGGGUGCCCAUUUGAAGGUGGACAGCAUCAACAGCCAGGAGCACCUGGAGCAGCUGCUACUCCACGCAACAGCUACCCUUAUUGUUGCGAUAAGUGCAGCGCAGUGCAAUAAUCGCAUAUGACGGCCGCUUGAGCGAGUUCAGGGGCCCUGACAACAUUCUGUUGUAAUAGGGGGCAGGCGAUGAUGAUAUAUUCUCUAUAUCGGGUAUAGCAGUAGCAAAACAGG